rnacentral:rRNA from 2 species
CAGUUUACGGGUGGGGGGGAGGGCGUGCCGUUGGAAGAAUGAGCCGGCGAGUUAGGGGCAUGUCGCGAGGUUAACCCGUGUGGGGUAGCCGUAGCGAAAGCGAGUCCGAAUAGGGCGAGUCAGGGGCAUGCUCUAGACCCGAAGCGGAGUGAUCUACCCAUGGCCAGGUUGAAGCGACGGUAAGACGUCGUGGAGGACCGAACCCACUUAGGUUGAAAACUGAGGGGAUGAGUUGUGGGUAGGGGUGAAAGGCCAAUCAAACUCCGUGAUAGCUGGUUCUCCCCGAAAUGCAUUUAGGUGCAGCGUCGCGUGUUUCUCACCGGAGGUAGAGCUACUGGAUGGUCUAGGGGGCCCACAAGCUUACCGAAAUCAGCCAAACUCCGAAUGCCGGUGAGUGAGAGCGCGGCAGUGAGACUGCGGGCGAUAAGGUUCGUAGUCGAGAGGGAAACAGCCCAGAUCGCCAGCUAAGGUCCCUAAGCGUGUACUAAGUGGAAAAGGAUGUGGGGUCGCGAAGACAACCAGGAGGUUGGCUUAGAAGCAGCCACCCUUGAAAGAGUGCGUAAUAGCUCACUGGUCAAGUGAUCCUGCGCCGACAAUGUAGCGGGGCUCAAGUACACCACCGAAGCUGCGGCAUUCACGCAAUAGCCCCCAGUUGAUCCAAGGAUUUUCUGGCAGGUGUGUGGAUGGGUAGGGGAGCGUCGUGUGGCCAUGGAAGCGGCAGGGUGACCUAGCCGUGGAGGCCACACGAGUGAGAAUGCAGGCAUGAGUAGCGAAAGACGAGUGAGAAACUCGUCCGCCGAAGGACCAAGGGGUCCGGGGCCAGGUGAAUCCGCCCAGGGGGAGUCGGGACCUAAGACGAGGCCGACAGGCGUAGCCGAUGGACAACGGGUGGAUAUUCCCGUACCCGUGUGAACGCGCCCAUGGUGAAUCAGUGAUACUAACCAUCCUGAAGCCACGAGAAGACCUGCGGGUCUCGAGUUGGUGGAUGCAUGGGACCUGAUCUGGUAGUAGCCAAGCGAUGGGGUGACGCAGGAAGGU